rnacentral:ncRNA from 12 species
UGUAAACAUCCUACACUCAGC